UACGGAGGAUGCAAGCGUUAUCCGGAAUGAUUGGGCGUAAAGAGCGUGUAGGCGGCCAAACAGGUCCGUUGUGAAAACUGGAGGCUCAACCUCCAGACGUCGACGGAAACCGUGUGGCUAGAGUCCGGAAGAGGAGAGUGGAAUUCCUGGUGUAGCGGUGAAAUGCGCAGAUAUCAGGAAGAACACCAAUGGCGAAGGCAGCUCUCUGGGACGGUACUGACGCUGAGACGCGAAAGCGUGGGGAGCGAACAGG
rnacentral:rRNA from 1 species